rnacentral:lncRNA from 1 species
CUGUUCACUUAAAGAAGUUACCUAUGUAGAUUUGGUUAGAGAAUUUUAUCUGAACUUGUGCUAUGGUAAUGGAACAGUAACAUCCACUGUUAAGGGUAUAGAUAUCUGUUUAGAUCCUGUACUUUUGGGAGAGAUUCUUCAUUUGCCCUGUGAGGGAUACUCAAACAUGGAACUCCCAGUCAAGGAAGAAGGAAUUAAUGUGAUUUU